UACGUAGGUGGCAAGCGUUGUCCGGAAUUACUGGGCGUAAAGGGAGCGUAGGCGGAUGCUUAAGUGAGAUGUGAAAUACCCGGGCUUAACUUGGGUGCUGCAUUUCAAACUGGGCAUCUAGAGUGCAGGAGAGGAAAGUGGAAUUCCUAGUGUAGCGGUGAAAUGCGUAGAGAUUAGGAAGAACACCAGUGGCGAAGGCGGCUUUCUGGACUGUAACUGACACUGAGGCAUGAAAGCGUGGGGAGCAAAC
rnacentral:rRNA from 1 species